GAGCUAGCCGUCGAAGGUGGGACAAAUGAUUGGGGUGAAGUCGUAACAAGGUAGCCGUAUCGGAAGGUGCGGCUGGAUCACCUCCUUUCUAAGGA
rnacentral:rRNA from 6 species